GUGAGGAAUUUUGCGCAAUGGCCGCAAGGCUGACGCAGCAACGCCGCGUGGGUGAUGAAGGCCUUCGGGUCGUAAAGCCCUGUCAGGUGGGAAGAAAGGCCUGGAGAGGAAAGGUUUCAGGUUUGACGGUACCACCAGAGGAAGCACCGGCUAACUCCGUGCCAGCAGCCGCGGUAAUACGGAGGGUGCGAGCGUUAUUCGGAAUUACUGGGCAUAAAGCGCGUGUAGGCGGGGGGACAAGUCUGAUGUGAAAGCCCUGGGCUUAACCUGGGAAGCGCAUUGGAAACUGUUUUUCUGGAGUACUGGAGAGGAAGGGGGAAUUCCCGGUGUAGAGGUGAAAUUCGUAGAGAUCGGGAGGAAUACCAGUGGCGUAGGCGCCCUUCUGGACGGUAACUGACGCUGAGACGCGAAAGCGUGGGGAGCAAACAGGAUUAGAUACCCUGGUAGUCC
rnacentral:rRNA from 1 species